rnacentral:sRNA from 1 species
ACUCAACGUUAAUUCUUUAAAAAGGGUGAGUUUAAGUUGUAAAAUCGGGCUGCCAGGAGUUGAAUUUAUUCGAUUUCAAAGCAGAUUUUUGAUCAGCUUGUUAGCCCUAAACUUGUUUUUAAGGAGUUU